GUUUUGGGUGCCUCCUAGCUAUAAUCUUAGCACUUUGGGAGGCUAAGAGAGGAGGAUUGCUUGAGGCCAAGAGUUGGAGGAGGCAGUAUGGCAGUAUGGUGAGACCCUGUCUCUAUUAUUUUAAAAAAUUGACAGGCUUUACCCUGGAAGGCUUAUACACAAUUUAAACACCCCUCAUAGUAUAAAAAAGUGCCCAUUUCACUGCACCUUUGCCAGCACAGGGUAUUAUAAUUUAGUAAGUCAUUUUUUGUUUGAUUAUUUUACAUAGACAAAAGAACUCAUAUUACUUUACUUGUCACAUUUCAACAUCUUUCCUCAGCUUAUUAGCUCUAUUUCUUUUCUGUCUGUAAAUGGUUAUUGUUGUUUUGUUCUUUGAGACAGGGUCUUGCUCUGUCACCAGGCUGGACUGUAGUGGCAUAAUCAUGCCUCACUGCAGCCUUGACCUCCCAGGCUCAAACUUCCGCAUUCCGAAUAGCUGGGACUACAAGUGUGCACCACCACCCCCAGCUAACUUUUUUCUUCUUUUGGAUAGAGACAGGGUCUCACUGUGUUGUCCAGACCGGUCUCUAGCUCCUGGCCUUAAGCAAUCCUCCUGCAUUAGCUUCUCAAAUUGCUGGAAUUUCAGGCAUGAGCCACCGUGCCUGGCCUGGGCUAGUCCUAUAUUCUCUAGAGUUCUCUUUACUUUGUGCUAGUCAAUCUCUCAUUAUGCUGUUCACCUGUUAUAAUGAAUAAUUCUCUGUAUUAAAUUUUACCACUUUAAACUUUUGAGUGGUUUAUGCUUCCUGAUUGGACUCUGACUAAUAUGUUAGGAAGGGUCCCAGGAGAUAAACCCACACAGAUGGGAUUUGGGCAGUGCUGAGCUCUUUGCCAGUGGGAAAUGGGAUGCUGGUGAUUUCCAGUAGGUGACCUCACAGUGACUCAAGCUACCACUUACUGUUGAUUGUGACGAAAUGCCAGCUGAGGCACAUGCCUUGGGAGCUAAGUGGUUGCUGCACUUGACCACUGUGAAGACUGGUGUGGGAAGAAGGGUCGUUUCUGAUGCACUUGAGCAGGGGUCCCCAACCCCUGAGCCAUGGAGCCGCAAGGAGCCACACAGCAGGAGCUCCUACCUCCCGGCAGCCUCUCCAGGCCCAGAACUUUCUCCAGUCAGCCUCUACAGACCAAGCUCAUGACUCACAAUGGCCUAUUUAGGCCCAUACCC
rnacentral:lncRNA from 10 species